GUACUUCCCCACCUCUCCCAAACCUUCAGACCCAUCUUUCAGUCCUCCCUGCACUCCAGCCCCCACCACACAAACAUUUCAGACUUUCUGCUUGAAGCAGGGAGAAGAGGCCAGUGUUCGGCUGUCUGGAUCUGAGAGCGCUUUCAAAUUUGAACAAGGAUCUGGAAAUGAGCAGAUGCUGUUGAUUGCACAGCGAUGACUGAAUGGUGGAAAAGGGGUGGAGGAGCACCCAUCUUCCUCACUUUCAGCUUGGCCUGGGUUCACAACAGCGCAGCACAGACAACAUAAUUAAGAUUUUUAGAGGCAAACACUGCUAUGAACAGACUCUGCUCACUCAAAGUAUGGGGAAUUGGGGGAGGAGUGCACAGGGCCUACACAUAUCUGGAAAAAGAAUUGAAGAGAGAUAUCCUGUUUGCUUCUCUGAUGCACUUUGAAAUCCUCAGGGCCCGUGGCUGAAGGCACUUGUUAAUUGGCAUCAUCUUCCAAACACUUUGCUGUAAGUAAUGCUUUCAUAGGAAGUAAAGUACUGCUGUAUGAAGUUCUGCUGUUGUGGCUCAUUCCUGGCGUAUGUAACUGGUGGAACUGUGAUUUUUCAAGGAAGGAAAAAUCCUUCCUUAUUUCUAAUCUAAAAAUAUAUAUACAUAUUUAUGACAUUGUAUUUACAAAUAUUAAAGAUUAAAAGAGUAUUUUAUAUCCUGG
rnacentral:lncRNA from 1 species